CGUUUUAGUUGUGCUCACACGCUAUCCAUCACUCCAUGCACCCUUGAGACAUCCGAAGGAACGUACAGGCUCUGUGGUUGCUGAUGUUGCUAGAGAGCGCCGCACUCUGGAACGCCGCCGAUGCGUGGCCUGUGGCGUCGUCAUAGUUCCUCUUCGCUUCCCUGUUGCAAUCCCUAGUAGUCACUCGGUUCUAGUUCGGCAGCGUCUACCUUCCGCUACAUGGAUGAAGUGAUUACGCGAGUGCAUGCGCGCCAUCGCUUGCAGAGCAGCACCGCAGCGAUGUCACCUCGUCAGCUGCGCCAGGUAGCACCCCUUAUCACGCAGCCACCACCACCUCAUUCAGGCGGUACCUCUAGUAAGCUGUAUUACGACACGCCUGAGGAGAGUGCCAGCUACUCGGCCGAAGAGAUCUCACUUUCCCAUGCAUUGCUGCACACCAUCGGUGAGGAAAAAAGAGUUGAGCAAGUGGGUGCGACCAACUGGAAGGCGUUUCCGGAGGUGCAGCUUGGGCUCUCGUCGCAACGGCUCCUCUGUGCAGCGACACCGAGAUGCCAGCCCGCCAAGCGCUGUGGCGUUGCCACCGGAGAGGGAGUUGCUGUACGGUCCUCGGCGGCGCUUUCACGCCGCCGCGGCAGGAAGUGCGAACCCCGCCAAACGCGUGCAGCGGGCCGAGACGGCGUGGCGGUCAGUGAAAAAGAACACAAAUUCGCUGUCUCAUCGGCGAGCACCGCCGUCAUGACCAGCAGCAACAUCACCUGUAGGGCCACAUUCUCACCGGAUUCCGAUGCAGAUCACCGAAGGUGUGAAUGGCUUCAAGAGGAUGCAGCCAAGGCGGUGUCGCUACACAGUUCCGAGAAGAGAUUGAGCAGUGCCCUGUCGCCCUUCGCUUCAGCAGGAACCACCUCGGGAGAGCUGAUCCCACCUUCGCUGGUGGGCUUUGUCGCUGUUCCAUCGGCAGCAGUGGCGGCAACGUUCCCGGGAAACAGGUCUGCGUGCAGUCAAGGACGUGGUGCCGUUCGGCGGUGGUCUCCACAGGCCACACCAUGGCAGUCGCAAGAACAGCGCUGCCCCCGUUGCCGAAAAGUUACGGCAGUCUACCGCGAAGAUGCCCAGCUCCUAGCACGUUCCUAGCCGCUGUAGCGACCACCUUCUAAAGACUGUUUCAACGCAUCACAGAAGCCCCCCCCCCACACACACACACACGGCUCUUCCUGUGUCAGGCAAUGCCGAGAAGGAUGAGCGGUCUGGGAAUGGGGCACCUGGCGACGCACGAGCAUCGCGUGACGCGUGGGUGAGCCACCCACAGCGCUUAUCUUUCGGGAAGCAGCAAGGCGGGAGGUGGCAAAGCAACAAAACUCGUACAGCCGCUGCGGCGGCGCUGCGGUCGCUGCCUUUCAUCGACUCUAUUCUUGACUGGAUCAGUGUCGUCCCGCGUGAGAUCGUCAUGAUGCCCGGCGCACCUUCAAUCUUUGCGGAGCGAUGUGCAGAGGGGGAGGGGCCGGGUCGCAGGCGGACGUCUUCAAGACGCAGGAACAGCAGGGACGCUGCGCGCCUCAACAGCAGAGCGUCGUCGCGACAGCGCGCGCAGUGACUGAUGGUAUUGUCAGCACAAGCCAUUCGGGUGCAUGCAGAUAUGAUCCUCCAGAAUGUCUCCUGGCGUUUGUGGGAAAGGGAAGAGAGAUGGUAUCGAGCUGCGUCGGCUACAGAGCCGAAGAAGACUGGCGCACGUAAAGGUGCCUACCUCACAGCUGCUUUUCAUUGAGUAAAACAGUGUCAAAAGGGGAAAAAGAACUACACGCUAUGUUGUAUGAGUACGGUCGCCCUCCCCCCUCUCUGUGCACGUGUGCUUCGCUGGUGAUCGGCAGCUAACACGCCACGCAAAGACGGCCAUGCAAGAAAGGAGGUAGAUUGCGCAUGUGUGCCUCUGCUAGUUGCAUGCGUCCCUUCGUAUCCCACGAUAGAGCCACGCGUUCCAGUGGCGUUGAUACCUCCUCUCCUCC
rnacentral:misc_RNA from 1 species